GCUUUUUCGAGUUACCUGUUACUCGUAGCUAACUCAGAUCUUCUUCUCUAAGUAUCAUAUAGAAGCCAUCUGGUCCAAACACCGACGAAAAUUCAUUCAGUGCCUCAAUAACCUUUGGAAGAACCUCUCAACCGCAUUUCUCAGCUUAAGCCUCAAGGAUGUAGCCGUUCCGAUGCAAUCCAGCUGUUCCACGCAGAAUGUUUACAGUGAAGAUCACCGGCUAGAAGGGUUGGGGAGUCACUAAAGGAGCGUCAAUAUCGAACAACAUAAAUGGUUGGCUGAGUGGUUGACAGAUUGCAAUCCAGUCAUGGGUCCCUCUCUAGCCAGGUUGAGAGUAAUUCCAACUACCUCGAUUACCUGCAGAGCUGGCAAUGCUAUUUAAUUUUGUUAGAUAUUUCGUUUGAUCAGGAUAGCUACUCCUCCCCACUGGCGCACGACCGAGCCUGGGGAUUUCGUCGCAAAGUUUCAAAUAUUAGAUGGUACAUUUGGGGAGAGCUAUAUCUCGCAGACGGCACAGACAUCUAUUC